ensembl:lncRNA
AUAUUAGGAAGCAUAAUAUAAUACAUUACAUCAAUACACUAAAGUACACAAAUCAUGUUGUAAUUAGUGAAAAAAGUAUUUGACAAAAUUUAGCCAUUUCUCAUAAAAUCUUCUAUUUAAAAUAAAAGGGGGCCGGGUAUGGUGGCUCAUGCCUGUAAUCCCAGCACUUUGAGAGGCCAAGGUGGGCAGAUCACUUGAAGUCAGGAAUUCGAGACCAGCCUGGCCAACAUGAUGAAACCCCAUCACUACUAAAAAUACAAAAAUUAGCCAGGCAUGGUAGCACACGCCUUCAGUCCCAGCUACUCAGGAGGCCGAGGCAGGACAAUCACUUGAACCCGGGAGGCGGAGGUUGCAGUGAGCCAAGAUCACGCCACUGCACUCCAGCCUGGGCGACAGAGCGAGAUUCUGUCUCAAAAAAAUAAAGUACAGUAAAAUAUGGAAUUUAAAUAAUGCACCUAAAAAAUCACACCUACUUUUUAAAAAAGAACAGAUAACAUAUUAAUUGAUGAAAUAUUAACGAUCAGCAUUAUAGCUGGGAAAAAGCCAGGGAUGCCUGUUUCACCGCUGCCACUCCACCUGCAUUUGGGGGUUCUCAUGGCAGACGAAGGCAGGCAGGGGUGGUGGAGAUUGUGCACAUCAGGCCAGAAGUGCUGACAUUCUCCUCUCCCUGCAGAAGAGAGGGAUGCCCGUUGAGAAGAUCCAAAAGCUUUAUUCAUACAUUCGUAACCUACAGAACCAAUAAGAUGCUUUAGGGCACGGCACACUCACACUCCAGAGAUGAAAAGCAGAGUGCUUUGUCCCUCACAGCUCCAAACAAGGGAAUGCAGCCAAUUCACCUCUCAGCAUCCCAAGGGGGAAAGGAGAAAAAUCAGCCGGUCUGUCCUCAUCCGUAAUCCGUGGGGGAUAAAGAAUGGAGGAGCUGCCAAUGCUAGACAGCACUGGGCUGUCCCUGUGUCCUUUCUGAGACAGGAGAGGCCACAUGGGGUGAACUUACCGGCUUGGGCUUUUGAAACAUUCAAAGGGCGAGGCCUCACCAGUAGAGGGCAGAGAAACUAAGGCAAGUUCUGGAUUUUCCUUGAGUUCUGCUAUUAUUUAUUCAUUUAUUUACUGAGAUGGAGUUUCGCUCUUGUUGCCCAGGCUGGAGUGCAAUGGCGCAAUCUUGGCUCACUGCAACUUCCGCCUCCCGGGUUCAAGUGAUUCUCCUGCCUCAGCCUCCCAAGUAGCUGGGAUUAUAGGCGUGCACCCCCAUGCCGAGCUAAUUUUGUGUGUGUAUGUACAUAUAUAUAUAUAUAUAUAUAUAUAUAUAUAUAUAUAUUUUUUUUUUUUGUAGAGACGGGGUUUCACCACGCUGGCCAGGCUGGUCUCGAACUCCUGACCUCAAGUGAUCCACCUGCCUUGGCCUCUCAAAGUGCUGGGAUUACAG